AAGGCCUGGUGGGUGCACAGGAAGGGAGCAGUGCAGAUGCUUCUCCCUGGGAGGCUGGCCCAGGGACUCUGCCAUGUUCUCCAUUGUGCCUGCCUUGGGGUCAGC
ensembl:miRNA